CCGCAGGUUAGGUUUAACGAUUCUAAAUAUCCAACAUGAUUAUCAAUCGAAAUAGAGUUCUGAAGAAAAUGAAAAGUGUCCCCCAGAUACCGAGAUAUUCUGGGUUUGGUGACAUGAAUUAGCAGGACAAAAAGCUGGCAUUCCAUGUGGAGGCUAAAACACGGUCCUCACAUUCUAUCGCGUAGCAAGGGGGGAUUUAGAGAGACUUAUUUCCUUAAAACUGUCCUCCCAUCCACAGACCAAGCCAGUCUGCCUCGAUCAAGUUGAUAUAAGCUAGCCAAAUUCAGUUGGAAUAUUUUUGAGGGAAAGAUUGAGGCAUCGACAACAAGGGCCUCAAUAACAGCAGCCCAGUUGUUUACAUAGGCUAGAAGUAUAAAUAAGCUAUUGCUCCGUGAUUUGUACUUUUUAAUGCCAAUAAUUGUAAACAUUCUAUCGUUAAGGCAUCGACACGAAGAUCCAUUUUUGGAGUGUUUCACAUCGUUGUUUUUUUCUCACUCUGUUACCUUGACAAUUUCAAUUCAACUGGCUUCAAGUGGGAAACGGAGGUAAACAGAGACAGUACGACGGCUAGGUUUUUAAAGACUUCUUGACAUCAAAUAGCUUCAAGAUACAACAUAGCCAACUACGUCACUUGAAUUUUCCUGUAUCACAAAAACAAUAUACCUCGGGUUUUGUCACGGUUUGGUAAAUGUACCAUCUUAAGAAGCUUUGAGGAACACCUACACACACAAACACGCGCACACACACACACACACACACACACACACACACACACACACACACACACACACACACACACACACACACACACGCACACGCAGCUUGUACGGACACACCCGCUCACUUCAAACAGAUUUGAAUAUUGAUUUAGAUUUAUAAACAGUGAGGCAAACCGUGGAUUUUAUAAAUCGUCAGUUGCCUCUCUCUUUAGCAGUUCUCGUGGGCCCAUGUCAAAGGUUCAGUAUGCUUUAGACAACAACUUGUCACCUUCAUAGUAAAAACUAAAAACUAAACUAAAAACAUGACCAUGAAAAUGUCAAUGUUAAUACUUUGAUAGAUAUCGAUGACACCGACAUGUUCUCUGGAUUUACCUCUGUUCAGAAGUCACCUUGCAUCUCGUCAAGAGCAAUCCAACGGUAACUGUCUACAGCUUUCUGGUUUCUGCAGCCCAGCAGUGUGAGGUAACAGUAACUUUGGGCGGUGGCACGGCAUGCAGGUUCACAGGAGAACGACGUUUAAAGGAAGAGCAGUUAACGCCUCUGGCAAUCAGCGCUCCCACUGACUCCCGGGUAAUUGACGAGGACGUCUUUUAUCAGUGCCUCUGGGGCUCUGUAACAAACAUGGAUUCAAUUAAACGCUCUUCACUUCAGAUCAUCAAUAUCAGCCGGCAAAGUCAAUCUGCUGAGGGCAAAUAUUGCAGAAAAAAAAGUGUGACUUCUAACCAGUAACGCCUUGUUAUGAAGACGGGACUGAAUGUAUUAUUAUGCUAUUUUUGCGUUUCCUUUUAAUAUGAGACUUUUAUGUUCUUGGUUGGAUGUAUUUGUUUUACUUGCCAAUAUCCUUGUUGAUUUAAAUUGCUGCAUUAAAAUGUUGUAUAAGUAGAACAAAUGCUUGUUGAAGCCGGUGCUGUGUGUCGAUGGCUGGGACAGUCAUGCUGGCAUGGUUGAGGGGAGAGAACCAACAGAGAGGAGAUCAAGAUAUCUAUGUCGGUAACUGUCAAGCAGCCUCUUACUCUCAAAGAUGCAUGUGCUCUCUUCCUCUCUUCCUCUCUUCCUCUCUCUCUCUCUCUCUCUCUCUCUCUCUCUCUCUCUCUCUCUCUCUCUCUCUCUCUCUCUCUCUCUCUCAUUCUCUCUCUCUCCCCCUUCUCUCUCUCUCCCACCCAGUGAUACUCUCCUUGCUGAGGUGUCCAUGGUAAAACCUGCCCUGCAGACCGGACCUCUCCCUGGUAAAGUUCAAAGGAGUCAGAACUGAACGUGGAGGAUUUGUUCAGGCUUAUUACCCAGGAUUUGAAUUGGAUUCUGGGAAGCAUUCAUAACACAUUUGAAAAUGUUACAUUGUGUGAUUUUGUGUGUAAUCCCCAUAAUAAAUUUUUAGAA